GGGCCCGCACAAGCGGUGGAGCAUGUGGUUUAAUUCGACGCAACGCGCAGAACCUUACCAGGGUUUGACAUCCUGUGCUCGACUCCGAAAGGGGUUUUCCCCGCAAGGGGCGCAGAGACAGGUGCUGCAUGGCUGUCGUCAGCUCGUGUCGUGAGAUGUUGGGUUAAGUCCCGCAACGAGCGCAACCCUCGCCUUUAGUUGCCAUCAUUCAGUUGGGCACUCUAGAGGGACCGCCGGCGACAAGCCGGAGGAAGGUGGGGAUGACGUCAAGUCCUCAUGGCCCUUACACCCUGGGCUACACACGUGCUACAAUGGCGGUGACAGUGGGCAGCCAACUCGCGAGAGUGAGCUAAUCCCAAAAAACCGUCCCAGUUCAGAUUGCACUCUGCAACUCGGGUGCAUGAAGGUGGAAUCGCUAGUAAUCGCAGAACAGCAGGCUGCGGUGAAUACGUUCCCGGGCCUU
rnacentral:rRNA from 1 species